CAUUAAACUUAUAAGAAAACAAUCAAUCAACGACUGUCGUUGCUCCAAUGUGUACUUAACCAUAAACAUCAAUGCCUUUCUUAAAAUCAAUACACAAGUAUAUAUUUUUAAACCUGCAUAUUUAGCUAAAGGAAAUCCAGGUUAGCAGGCAAUAUUAACCAGGUGAAAUUGUGUCACCUCUUGCGUUCAUUGCACGCAGAAUCAGUGUAUAUGCAACAUUUUGGGCCGCCUAAUUUGCCAUAAUUUUACGUAAUUAUGACAUAAGGUUGUGCAAUAUAACAGGAAUAUUUAGACUCAUGGAUGCCACCCGUUAGAUAAAAUACGGAACGGAAUAAACUUUUCUUUUUUUUCGUUUUCGAGGUUAUAGUUUCCGGAUUUGACCUAAGGCUCGUAUUUCUGUGUUUAUUAUAGUUAAGUCUAUGAUUUGAUAGAGCAGUCCGAUUGAGUGGUGGUAGGCAGCAGCAGGCUCGUAAUAGUCAAAGGUAUAUGGUUUAGAGAGAAAUAGUCGACGCGUUAUAAUUCCUGAAAUAACUUGCGGCUGAACUUGAAAGAGGUUCCUUCGUUAUUUUACGGUUCAUGUCUUCCAUCGAGAAUGUCUUGACCUACUUCAAAUAAGGUCUGUGUUUCUUGCUUAAACCGCCUCGCGUUUUGUUACCCAUGUAAAUCUCACUAGGAUAGGUAACGUUUGUCAACUCUACAAAAAAAUAAAUAUCUUUGCAUAUAUUUAGCCAAUAUUGAUCAGUUACCUUGUCCUAUGGAUAUCUACACAGUUAUAAAAUUGGAAAAGAGGGUGUAAGCCUACACGAAACACAGACCUUAUUUUAAGUCAAUCUAAAAAUAUCCUAUAGAAUACAUUAAUGAAGGAACCGCUUUUCAGAUAUUUCUAGGUGUCAUGGAAAUUAUGACCCGCACUUUGGUAGUCAAUUCUUACCAUGCCCAUUAUUAAAAUAGGAUUUCCUGCAAACUCCCCAAAAAUGUUAGUAGCAUAAUAACAUAACAUAAGCCAUUGGAAAAUGUGUAUAAUUGCAGGAAACUGCAGUUUCUCUCUCAGAACUCAAAUGGACAACUAGAAAAAGCUCACACCAAGUUUAUUCACCCACUGGGUCAUACAACUGCAAAGACAAGCCUAUAGGCCUAGUUGAAAUUGAAAACCUACCUCUCCCAAGAACCCACGCCAGUCCCAAGACGGACGAAAAGGAGAUAGCCCACAGGUCAACAAACAAGAAAGAUUGGAAGAGGAAAACGACUUACAAGCCAUGGCUACAAGACAGCUCGUCCAAGAGCGACGUCGAUCGACCAAAGACCGCCAGCGUCCAUCCACUCUGGGAAACAAUGCAGGUGGAGACAACACAUAUGGACAAGGCAGGGAGAUCAUAAAUCAAGUCAGAGGACAAGGAGGGGGAGAAAAGGCUAAAUCUAUCCAAAAGAAAAAUGACUGAAGAUGAGUCUCUGUUCUCAAUACUCUGUUAUGCUCUAAGACACACAACCACCAAGAUAUCUCUCAGUAAUUUAUUGGACAUGAUACAUCUCCGUUGUCCAAAGGGGAAAAACGUCAUUCCCAACAGCCAGGUUUAUGAAGUAUUUUGACUGUGAUGACACUUUUGAAAUGCAGUAUAUUUGUCCAACAUGCCAGUAUUUCUUUGGCAGUGAAGUGCCAGAUCAUUGCACAUCGUGUGCUUUCCUCCCUGGGGAUAUGCCAUCUCUUGUCAAGAGUGGAUCAGUGUUUAUGAAAUUGUUAGUCAAAACACAACUAGAGGAAAAGCUCUCGGAUCCCAAAUUCUGUAUUAGAAUAUAAGUAUUCUUGGUCCAAGAGCAGCCCAGAUAGUACAGAUUACAUUUAUGAUGGUGCACUAUACAAGUCAAUAUAUGCCCUUAAUGGCACUGAUUUAAUGAACCUUUCACUCUCAUGGAAUGAGGAAGGCGUUCCAAUAUUCAAGUCCUUUCCCUUUCACAUCUGGCCCCUAAAAAGUCAUAGUUAAUUAAGUUCCCCCAAACCUAAGAGCAAAGCACAUCAUUCUUGUGGGGUUGUGGUUUGGGCUACUGGUGCUAUCACAAAGGAGAAGUGGUUAACGAGGGUAAUGGGUUCACUAGAGUGUAUCUGCCAGUGGUGGAAAAAGUACCCAAUUGUCAUACUUGAGUAAAAGUAGAGAUACCUUAAUAGAAAAUGACUCAAGUAAAAGUCAUCCAGUAAAAUACUGCUUGUAUGUAAAUGAAGUCAUCGACUCGGCCUGUCCUUAAACAUUCGUAUGCCCAUAUGCUAAUACUUCACACCAAAGAUUUUAAGGCACAGAUCAAUAGCCAAGAUACUCAGCUUUCCGCAGACACCAUGCUUUUGCAGAUAGAUGCUUCUGUUCUCAUACCAGACUACAUUAAAUGUUUUAAAAAAUCAAUUAGGGUCCCCAAAUAUUGGGACUUUACAUUUAAGAGGUACUUUACACCACUGGUAUCCGCUUGAGAGUGAGCCAGAACCACGCACAGACACUAAACACCUCAGAGAGGUUGCCUUGGGAACAUCAUCAGUCAGGGAACAUCAUACAUGGUGUUAAGGGCCCAUCUCCUUUAAUGUUUCUUACUGUUUUCAACAUGAUUGCAGGGUUUGCUUUUGAUUACAAGCAUGGCAUCUUAUAUGGCAUAUGUUGGCAAAUGACUACACUGUGGUUUGAGUCCAAAUAUCCAAAUAUCACCCUGAGUCCUGGUACAUUGGUAGAGAAAUAGAGUGCAUAAACAAAAGAUUGCUUGCCACAAAACCACCUGUAAAUGUGACAAGACAACCACGCGCAAUUCAUUUACUCAAAUAUUGGAAAGCCACAGAGUUCUGACACUUCCUGCUACAGCUAUUUUUAGGUCUCUCCAGAGAUGUUCGAUCUGGUUCAAGUCCGGUCUCUGGCUGGGCCACUCAAGUAUAUUCAGAGAAUUGUCCGGAAGUCACUCCUGCAUUGUCUUGGCCAUGUGCUUAGGGUUGUUGUCAUGUUGGAAUGUGAACCUUCGCCCCAGUCAGAGGUCCUGAGCACUCUGGAGUAGGUUUUCAUCAAGAAUCUCUGUAGUUCGCUCCUUUUAUCUAUCCCUCGAUCCUGACGAGUCUCCCAGUCCCUGCCGCUGAAAAACAUCCCCACAGCAUGAUGCUGCCACCACCGUGCUUAACUGUAGGGAUGGUGUCAGGUUUCCUCAAGAUGUGAUGCUUGGCAUUCAGGCCAAAGAGUUCAAUCUUGGUUCCAUCAGACCAGAGAAUCUUGUUUCUCGUGGUCUGAGAGUCCUUGGGUGUCUUUUGGCAAACUCCAAGCGGGCUGUCAUGUGCCUUCUACUGAGGAGUAGCUUCCAUCUGACCACUCUACCAUAAAGGCCUGAUUGGUGGAGUGCUGCAGAGAUGGUUGUCCUUCUGGAAGGUUCUCCAAUCUCCACAGAGGAACUCUGGAGCUUGGUUAGAGUGACCAUCGGGUUCUUGGUCACCUCCCUGACCAAGGCCCUUCUCCCCCAAUUGCUCAUGUAACGGAUGUGAAACAGCUAGCUAGUUAGCGGUGGUGUGCUCUAAAUAGCGUUUCAAUCGGUGACGUCACUUGCUCUGAGACCUUGAAGUAGUGGUUCCCCUUGCACUGCAAGGGCCGCAGCUUUUGUGGAGCGAUGGGUAACGAUGCUUCGUGGGUGACUGUUGUUGAUGUGUGCAGAGGGUCCCUGGUUUGCGCCUGGGUAUGGGCGAGGGGACGGUCUAAAGUUAUACUGUUACAUUCAGUUUGGCCGGGUGGCCAGCUCUAGAAAGAGUUUUGGUGGUUCCAAACUUCUUCCAUUUAAGAAUAAUAGAGGCCACUGUGUUCUUGGGCACCUUCAAUGCUGCAGAAUUGUUUUGGUACCCUUCCCCAGAUCUGUGUUUCGACACAAUCCUGUCUCGGAGCUCUACAGACAAUUCCUUCGACCUCAUGGCUUGGUUUUUGCUCUGACAUGCACUGUCAACUGUGGGACCUUAUAUAGAUAGGUGUGUGCCUUUCCAAAUCAUGUUCAAUCAAUUGAACGUACCACAGGUGGAGUCCAAUCAAGUUGUAGAAACAUCUAAGAUGAUUAAUGGAAACAGGAUGCACCUGAGUUCAAUUUCUAGUCUCAUACCAAAGGGUUUGAAUACUUAUGUAAAUAAGAUAUUUCUGUUUUAAUUUUUUUGACAUUUGCAAAAAUAGCUAAUAACCCGUUUUCGCUUUGUCAUUAUGGGGUAUUGUAGAUUGAUGAGGGACGUUUUUUACUGAAUCCAUUUUAGAAUAAGGCUGUAACGUAACAAAAUGUGGAAAAAGUAAAGGGGUCUGAGUACUUUCCAGAUGCUCUGUAUACACAUUAUUACAUUGACUGAACUGUGGGCUUACUGAAACCAUUAUCACAUGUGUUGAUAUCAAAUAAAAAUAGCAUUCAUUGUAUUUAUUGUAUGUGGACAUUGUCAUUGGUUACAUUUCUCAUCUGCUGAGUUGAAAUGUCUGACAUUGCACUAUAUUUCAAAAGUAUAUUUUCUCUGUUGUCACAACAUACUGUAUCUGAAAUCCUGUAGUUAACUUGAAAUUGCCACAUCCUGCAGGAAUAUCAAAAUCCUGCAGGUUUAGGUCCUGCAGGAUUCCUGCAGCAAUGUACUUGGUCCUGCAGGUAUUGCCAUAUCCUGUAUGAAUAUCAACAUCCUUGUUUCAGUCCUGCAUAUCAAAAAUCAAAGGAAUAUCAAAAUCCUGCAGGGUGUGGUCCCGUAGUAUUCCUGCAGGGAAGCAUUUCUUAGGACCUUUUUUCAUAUAUUUUUAACCACAGAUCAUGAAACAUACUGUUUUCACAUAUAGUGCUUUCAGAAAGUAUUCAUACCCCUUUACUUAUUCCACCAUUUGUGUUACAGCCGGAAUUCAAAAUGGAUUAACUAUAUGUUCUUUCUCACUCAUCUACACACAAUAGCCUAUAAUGACAAAGUGAAAACAUAUUUUCAGAAAUUUAAGCAAAUUUAUUGAAAAUGAAAUACAGAAAUAUCUUAUAUACAUAAGUCUUCAACCCCUGAGUCAAUCGCUACUUUGUAGAAUAAACUUUGGCAGUGUGUCACGCCCUGACCUUAGAGAGCUGUUUUAUUUCUCUAUUUGGUUAGGUCAGGGUGGGAUUUGGGGUGGGCAUUCUUUGUUGGGUAUUUCUAUGUUAGUCUGAUAUGGUGCCCAAUCAGAGACAGCUGUUUAUCGUUGUCUCUGUUUGGGGAUCAUAUUUAGGCAGCCCUUUUUCCCCACUUUCUGGUGUGGGAUCUUGUCUACAUUUAGUUGCCUGAGUACACAACAGUAGCUUCACGUUUGUUUUUGUUCAGUGAGUUUCGGUUCAUUAAAGUUAUGUGGAACUGUACUCACGCUGCGCCUUGGUCUCACCAUUACAAAGAGCGUGACAGAAGAUCCCACCAAAACUGGACCAAGUAGCGUGCCCAGGAGGAGGAAGUAUCCUGGACUUGGGAAGAGAUCCUUGAUGGGAAGGGAUCCUGGACUUGGGAGGAAAUCCUGGCAGGACAGGAUUUUAUGUUAUUGUCCUGCUGAAAGGUGAAUUCAUCUCCCAGUGUCUGGUGGAAGCAGAAUGGACCAGGUUUUCCUCUAGCAUUUUUGCCUGUGCGUAGCUCCAUUACGUUUAUUUUUUAUCCUGAAAAACUCCCCAGGAUACCCAUAACAUGAUGCAGCCACCACUGUGCUUGAAAAUAUGGAGAGUGGUACUCAGUAAUGUGUUGUAUUGGAUUUGCCCCAAACAUAACACUUUGUAUUCAGGACAAAAUGUUAAUUGCUUUGCCACAUUUUUUCCAUUAUUACUUUUGUGCCUUGUUGCAGACAGGAUGCAUGUUUUGGAAUAUUUUAUAUUCUGUACAGGCUUCCUUCUUUUCACUCUGUCAAUUAGGUUAGUAUUGUGGAUUAACUACAAUGUUGUUGAUCCCUCCUCAGUUUUCUUCUAGCACAGCCAUUAAACGUUGUAACUGUUUUAAAGUCACCAUUGGCCUCAUGGUGAAAUCCCUGAGUGGUUUCCUUCCUCUCCGGCAACCGAGUUAGGAAGGACGCCUUUAUCUUUGUAGUGACUGGGUGUAUUGAUACACCAUCCAAAGUGUAAUGAAUUACUUCACCAUGCUCAAAGGGAUAUUCAAUGUCUACCAAUAGGUGGCCUUCUUUGCAAGGCAUUGGAAAACCUCCCAGGUCUUUGUGGUUGAAUCUGUUUGAAAUCCACUGCUUGACUGGGGGACCGUACAGCUAAUUGUAUGUGAGGGGUACAGAGAUGCAACUUAUCAUGUGACUUUAACAAGCACAUUUUUACUACUGAAAUCAAUUAGGCCAUAACAAAGGGGUUGAAUACUUUCCGACUCAAGACAUUUCAGCUUUUCAUUUUUGUAAACAUUUCCAUAAACCUAAUUCUACUUUUACGUUAUGGGGUAUUGUGUGUAGGCCAGUGACAAAAAAACAAAUCUAUUUUUAAUCAAUUUAAAAAUAGAUAAAUAUCCCUGUAACACAACAAUGUGGGAAAAGUCAAAGGGUUUCUGGGAGGCACUGUACAGUAUGUAGACACUGGGUUGGUGCUGGAGAUAAAAGGAUGAAAAGUGGUAGAAUUGCCUGCUUAUCCUUUGUCCAGUGUUAAAAACUCAGAGGACAUUGAUUAAGUUCUUUGCUGUUUCGUCUCUCUCAUACAGGGUUAUGAAAGAGUCAACUUGUCCCCAGAAACUUUCACAUUGUAGCAUCUCUAUCUCAAAUGAGAAAAUAAGUGCAAAAUAGAACUGUGUAUGUUGUUACAGAAGCUCUAGUCCAUUCCCUGUCUUUAUAUGAAAUGGUCCAAAGGUCGACAAUCUGUCCAGGUGGACAGUGUGCAGGGUGUUGAGCUUGGUUGGCUUCUCUCACAACAGUGUUUUGAGCCCGGCUGGACUCUUUCCCAGUCUGUUAUGUUGUGUUUGUCUGGGUACUCUCCUCUUCUUAACCUUCGGCCCUUUUCUAACUGGUCAGUAAACACUGGACGGUCGACAUGUACAUUUUGGCCUCACCUGUAGUGCAUAAGUCCUAUGUCAAUGUUUGAGGAGAUUCUAUCACUUUUGGACCAUGGAUUCAUUUAAUCAUUUGUUUUAUUUGAGUCCGUUUGUUUGGAGUUUGGGAGCAAGAUAAGAGCAAAAUGAUUUUUGAUGAAGUGCCUCUUGUGGUGUUCUAUUGACGUUUUAGUUGAGGCUUGUUUGGAACACACUGCUUGCUACACCUCUAUGAAUAUAUAUACAGUGGGGCAAAAAAUACAGUGGGGCAAAAAAGUAUUUAGUCGGCCACCAAUUGUGCAAGUUCUCCCACUUAAGAUGAGAGAGGCCUGUAAUUUUCAUCAUAGGUACACUUCAACUAUGACAGACAAAAUGAGAAAAAAAAUCAUAUGAUUUUUAAUGAAUUUAUUUGCAAUUUAUGGUGGAAAAUAAGUAUUUGGUCAAUAACAAAGGUUUAUCUCAAUACUUUGUUAUAUACCCUUUGUUGGCAAUGACUGAGGUCAAACGUUUUCUGUAAAUCUUCACAAGGUUUUCACACACUGUUGCUGGUAUUUUUGCCCAUUCCUCCAUGCAGAUCUCCUCUAGAUCAUUGAUGUUUUGGGGCUGUUGCUGGGCAACACGGACUUUCAACUCCCUCCAAAGAUUUUCUAUGGGGUUGAGAUCUGGAGACUGGCUAGGCCACUCCAGAACCUUGAAAUGCUUCUUACGAAGCCACUCCUUCAUUGCCCGGGUGGUGUGUUUGGGAUCAUUGUCAUGCUGAAAGACCCAGCCACGUUUCAUCUUCAAUGCCCUUGCUGAUGGUAGGCUUUGUUACUUUGGUCCCAGCUCUCUGCAGGUCAUUCACUAGAUCCCCCCGUGUGGUUCUGGGAUUUUUGCUCACCGUUCUUGUGAUCAUUUUGACCCCACGGGCUGAGAUCUUGCGUGGAGCCCCAGAUCGAGGGAGAUUAUCAGUGGUCUUGUAUGUCUUUCAUUUCCUAAUAAUUGCUCCCACAGUUGAUUUCUUCAAACCAAGCUGCUUACCUAUUGCAGAUUCAGUCUUCCCAGCCUGGUGCAGGUCUACAAUUUUGUUUCUGGUGUCCUUUGACAGCUCUUUGGUCUUGGCCAUAGUGGAGUUUGGAGUGUAACUGUUUGAGGUUGUGGACAGGUGUAUUUUAUACUGAUAACAAGUUCAAUCAGGUGCCAUUAAUACAGGUAACGAGUGGAGGACAGAGGAGCCUCCUAAAGAUACAGGUCUGUGAGAGACAGAAAUCUUGCUUGUUUGUAGGUGACCAAAUACUUAUUUUCCACCAUAAUUUGAAAAUAAAUUCAUAAAAAAUCAUACAAUGGGAUUUUCUGGAUUUUUUUUCUAAUUUUGUCAUAUGCCCUAUGCUCCAAUAAAUAGAAAUCCAUAGAAGUAGGGAAAAAAGCGACAGGAGUCUAUCAACCAUAUAUUCAACAAGUUAUGGAGUUAUUAUUAUGGAGUGUAACCCUUUUUUUCUCCAAUGGAAUUACUCUUCCUUCCAAGGUGAAAUAAUGUGGACAUGGAAUAACUUUUACAGUGGAAUAGACUCUCGUGUCCACAGACAUGUGUUUGUGUGACUGUUCAAUUAUGUUUUCCAUAAAAUGUCAUAAAAUGACUCUGCUCAAAAGCAUAAAGCACAAAAGUUACAGAAUUGUUUUUACUGGAUACUUAACCGGUCAAGUGUUGCCAUCUAGUGGCGAAAAUAGGAGUCCAAACGUGCAUGAGUAAGUAUUUUUAUAAAUCCUUAUCCUGCAUUCAUUCUUUACUGUGCUGUAAAAUACUUAUGACUAUCAAUUAUCAUUGUCAAAUGACUCGUAGGUCUACGAUUAGACAUGACCCCAUGAGUUGUACAGACCUCCAUAAACGUACUAUCAAGAUAUCAUCUUCAUUGAAUGUAAUAUUUUACAGACAGAAAUUAUUAUUUCAAUGACGAUUUCAGUCCUCUGAGGGAUAAAGAUGAAUAUGUCUUGUUAUUAUUUUAAUUUUUUUAAUUUAUUUUAUAUAUAUAUAUUUUUUUUAAACUUGCUGUAUUGUAUUUACUUCGUCACCAUGGCCUUUUUUUUCCUUUACCUCCCUUAUCUCACCUCAUUUACUCACAUUGUAUAUAGACAAAUGUUUCUACUGUAUUAUUGACUGUAUGUUUGUUUAACACCAUGUGUAACUCUGUGUUGUUGGACAUGUCGAACUGCUUUGCUUUAUCUUGGCCAGGUCACAAUUGUAAAUGAGAACUUGUUCUCAACUUGCCUACAGGGUUCAAUAAAGGUGAAAUAAAAUAAAUAAAUAAAAAUUGACAUGGAGGCCCAGACAGACAGCCAUUCGGAAAGGAAGAGACAGAUAGGUUCACAUAUGUUUACAUACGUAUAAGGACACGUUACCUAGUAGUCAGUAGGGUCCUGUCAAUGGAAAUAGCAUGUUUCACCUGAUGUACACCUUCAUAUAUGCAUAAUGUACACCACCUCUAUGUCAAUACCAGCAUAUAGGCUAAUGCAUAUGGGAACUCUCCAUGUGCUCUAUGUAUCAGUGAGUGACUCAGUGUGAGUUGAACUGCCGUCAUGAAGUCAUACAAUAUUGUUAGCACAGAUGACAUGAUGUGAUUUUAGACAUUUACUUAGGUAUCACAUUGUUGAUAAUCCCAUUUCACAAUACCUGGAGUUACCUCUUUGAUGGUUCUGGGAUAUCUUUAUUAAUAAACCGGUUUAAAGAUGUUUCUUUGUUCAGAUAAAAAAUAAAGCAUUAAGA